rnacentral:rRNA from 1 species
GACGAACGCUGGCGGCGUGCCUAAUACAUGCAAGUUGAGCGAUGAAGAUUGGUGCUUGCACCAAUUUGAAGAGCAGCGAACGGGUGAGUAACGCGUGGGGAAUCUGCCUUUGAGCGGGGGACAACAUUUGGAAACGAAUGCUAAUACCGCAUAACAACUUUAAACAUAAGUUUUAAGUUUGAAAGAUGCAAUUGCAUCACUCAAAGAUGAUCCCGCGUUGUAUUAGCUAGUUGGUGAGGUAAAGGCUCACCAAGGCGAUGAUACAUAGCCGACCUGAGAGGGUGAUCGGCCACAUUGGGACUGAGACACGGCCCAAACUCCUACGGGAGGCAGCAGUAGGGAAUCUUCGGCAGUGGACGAAAGUCUGACCGAGCAACGCCGCGUGAGUGGAGAAGGUUUUCGGAUCGUAAAACUCUGUUGGUAGAGAAGAACGUUGGUGAGAGUGGAAAGCUCAUCAAGUGACGGUAACUACCCAGAAAGGGACGGCUAACUACGUG